CCUACGGGAGGCAGCAGUGGGGAAUAUUGCACAAUGGACGAAAGUCUGAUGCAGCAACGCCGCGUGGAGGAUGACACAUUUCGGUGCGUAAACUCCUUUUAUAUGGGAAGAUAAUGACGGUACCAUAUGAAUAAGCACCGGCUAACUCCGUGCCAGC
rnacentral:rRNA from 1 species